UAGCAAGGUUAACCGUAUAGGGGAGCCGUAGGGAAACCGAGUCUUAACCGGGCGUUAAGUUGCAGGGUAUAGACCCGAAACCCGGUGAUCUAGCCAUGGGCAGGUUGAAGGUUGGGUAACACUAACUGGAGGACCGAACCGACUAAUGUUGAAAAAUUAGCGGAUGACCUGUGGCUGGGGGUGAAAGGCCAAUCAAACCGGGAGAUAGCUGGUUCUCCCCGAAAGCUAUUUAGGUAGCGCCUCGUGAAUUCAUCUCCGGGGGUAGAGCACUGUUUCGGCUAGGGGGCCAUCCCGGCUUACCAACCCGAUGCAAACUGCGAAUACCGGAGAAUGUUAUCACGGGAGACACACGGCGGGUGCUAACGUCCGUCGUGAAGAGGGAAACAACCCAGACCGCCAGCUAAGGUCCCAAAGUCAUGGUUAAGUGGGAAACGAUGUGGGAAGGCCCAGACAGCCAGGAUGUUGGCUUAGAAGCAGCCAUCAUUUAAAGAAAGCGUAAUAGCUCACUGGUCGAGUCGGCCUGCGCGGAAGAUGUAACGGGGCUAAACCAUGCACCGAAGCUGCGGCAGCGACGCUGAUGCGUUGUUGGGUAGGGGAGCGUUCUGUAAGCCUGUGAAGGUGGCCUGUGAGGGUUGCUGGAGGUAUCAGAAGUGCGAAUGCUGACAUAAGUAACGAUAAAGCGGGUGAAAAGCCCGCUCGCCGGAAGACCAAGGGUUCCUGUCCAACGUUAAUCGGGGCAGGGUGAGUCGACCCCUAAGGCGAGGCCGAAAGGCGUAGUCGAUGGGAAACGGGUUAAUAUUCCCGUACUUGGUGUUACUGCGAAGGGGGGACGGAGAAGGCUAUGUUGGCCGGGCGACGGUUGUCCCGGUUUAAGCGUGUAGGUGUGUGUUCCAGGUAAAUCCGGUUCACUUUAACACUGAGGCGUGAUGACGAGGCACUACGGUGCUGAAGCAACAAAUGCCCUGCUUCCAGGAAAAGCCUCUAAGCAUCAGGUAACAUCAAAUCGUACCCCAAACCGACACAGGUGGUCAGGUAGAGAAUACCAAGGCGCUUGAGAGAACUCGGGUGAAGGAACUAGGCAAAAUGGUGCCGUAACUUCGGGAGAAGGCACGCUGACACGUAGGUGAAGUGAUUUACUCAUGGAGCUGAAGUCAGUCGAAGAUACCAGCUGGCUGCAACUGUUUAUUAAAAACACAGCACUGUGCAAACACGAAAGUGGACGUAUACGGUGUGACGCCUGCCCGGUGCCGGAAGGUUAAUUGAUGGGGUCAGCGCAAGCGAAGCUCCUGAUCGAAGCCCCGGUAAACGGCGGCCGUAACUAUAACGGUCCUAAGGUAGCGAAAUUCCUUGUCGGGUAAGUUCCGACCUGCACGAAUGGCGUAAUGAUGGCCAGGCUGUCUCCACCCGAGACUCAGUGAAAUUGAACUCGCUGUGAAGAUGCAGUGUACCCGCGGCAAGACGGAAAGACCCCGUGAACCUUUACUAUAGCUUGACACUGAACAUUGAGCCUUGAUGUGUAGGAUAGGUGGGAGGCUUUGAAGCGUGGACGCCAGUCUGCAUGGAGCCGGCCUUGAAAUACCACCCUUUAAUGUUUGAUGUUCUAACGUGGACCCGUGAUCCGGGUUGCGGACAGUGUCUGGUGGGUAGUUUGACUGGGGCGGUCUCCUCCUAAAGAGUAACGGAGGAGCACGAAGGUUGGCUAAUCCUGGUCGGACAUCAGGAGGUUAGUGCAAUGGCAUAAGCCAGCUUGACUGCGAGCGUGACGGCGCGAGCAGGUGCGAAAGCAGGUCAUAGUGAUCCGGUGGUUCUGAAUGGAAGGGCCAUCGCUCAACGGAUAAAAGGUACUCCGGGGAUAACAGGCUGAUACCGCCCAAGAGUUCAUAUCGACGGCGGUGUUUGGCACCUCGAUGUCGGCUCAUCACAUCCUGGGGCUGAAGUAGGUCCCAAGGGUAUGGCUGUUCGCCAUUUAAAGUGGUACGCGAGCUGGGUUUAGAACGUCGUGAGACAGUUCGGUCCCUAUCUGCCGUGGGCGCUGGAGAACUGAGGGGGGCUGCUCCUAGUACGAGAGGACCGGAGUGGACGCAUCACUGGUGUUCGGGUUGUCAUGCCAAUGGCACUGCCCGGUAGCUAAAUGCGGAAGAGAUAAGUGCUGAAAGCAUCUAAGCACGAAACUUGCCCCGAGAUGAGUUCUCCCUGAGACUUAGAGUCUCCUGAAGGAACGUUGAAGACGACGACGUUGAUAGGCCGGGUGUGUAAGCGCAGCGAUGCGUUGAGCUAACCGGUACUAAUGAACCGUGAGGCUUAACCUUACAACGCCGAAG
rnacentral:rRNA from 1 species